GCCUGGCUGGCUCAGUAGGUAGAGCGCGCGACUCUUGAUCUCAGGGUCGUGAGUUCGAGCCCCAUGUUGGGCG
rnacentral:tRNA from 1 species